CGUAACGCGUAUAGAAUCUGCCUUGUACUGGAGAAUAGCCCAGAGAAAUUUGGAUUAAUGCUCCAUAGUCUUUUCCGAUCGCAUGAUUGGAUUUGUAAAGCUCCGGCGGUAAGAGAUAGGCAUGCGUCCCAUUAGUUAGUUGGUAAGGUAACGGCUUACCAAGACAGCGAUGGGUAGGGGGUCUGAGAGGAUGAUCCCCCACACUGGUACUGAGACACGGACCAGACUCCUACGGGAGGCAGCAGUGAGGAAUAUUGGGCAAUGGACGCAAGUCUGACCCAGCCAUGCCGCGUGCAGGAAGAAUGCCCUAUGGGUUGUAAACUGCUUUUAUAUACCAAGAAACGCAGGUACGUGUACCUGUCUGACGGUAGUAUAUGAAUAAGCACCGGCUAACUCCGUGCCAGCAGCCGCGGUAAUACGGAGGGUGCAAGCGUUAUCCGGAUUUAUUGGGUUUAAAGGGUUCGUAGGCGGGACUUUAAGUCAGUGGUGAAAGCCUAUAGCUCAACUAUAGAAUUGCCAUUGAUACUGAAGUUCUUGAGUACACUUGAAGUUAGCGGAAUGUAUCAUGUAGCGGUGAAAUGCAUAGAUAUGAUACAGAACACCGAUUGCGAAGGCAGCUAACUAAAUUGUCACUGACGCUGAGGAACGAAAGCGUGGGGAGCGAACAGGAUUAGAUACCCUGGUAGUCCACGCUGUAAACGAUGAUCACUCGAUAUUGGCCUUACACCGUGCGUGACCGAGCGAAAGCAUUAAGUAAUCCACCUGGGGAGUACGUUCGCAAGAAUGAAACUCAAAGGAAUUGACGGGGGCCCGCACAAGCGGAGGAACAUGUGGUUUAAUUCGAUGAUACGCGAGGAACCUUACCUGGACUUAAAUGUAGAUUGACCGGUUUAGAAAUAGAUCUUUCCUUGAGCAAUUUACAAGGUGCUGCAUGGUUGUCGUCAGCUCGUGCCGUGAGGUGUCGGGUUAAGUCCCAUAACGAGCGCAACCCCUAUCGUUAGUUGCUAGCAGGUAAUGCUGAGGACUCUAGCGAGACUGCCACCGUAAGGUGCGAGGAAGGUGGGGAUGACGUCAAAUCAGCACGGCCCUUAUGUCCAGGGCUACACACGUGUUACAAUGGUCGGUACAAAGGGCAGCUACUUGGUGACAAGAUGCUAAUCCCUAAAGCCGAUCCCAGUUCGGAUUGGAGUCUGCAACCCGACUCCAUGAAGUUGGAUUCGCUAGUAAUCGGAUAUCAGCCAUGAUCCGGUGAAUACGUUCCCGGGCCUUGUACACACCGCCCGUCAAACCAUGGAAGCUGGGGGUGCCUGAAGUCUGUGACCGUAAGGAGCGGCCUAGGGUAAAACUAGUGACUAGGGCU
rnacentral:rRNA from 1 species